rnacentral:rRNA from 1 species
CUACGGGUGGCAGCAGUGGGGAAUAUUGCACAAUGGGCGCAAGCCUGAUGCAGCAACGCCGCGUGAGGGAUGACGGCCUUCGGGUUGUAAACCUCUUUUAGCAGGGAAGAAGCGAAAGUGACGGUACCUGCAGAAAAAGCACCGGCUAACUACGUGCCAGCAGCCGCGGUAAUACGUAGGGUGCAAGCGUUGUCCGGAAUUAUUGGGCGUAAAGAGCUCGUAGGCGGUUUGUCGCGUCUGCUGUGAAAACCCGAGGCUCAACCUCGGGCCUGCAGUGGGUACGGGCAAGCUAGAGUGCGGUAAGGGAGAAUGGAACUCCUGGUGUAGCGGUGGAAUGCGCAGAUAUCAGGAAGAACACCAAUGGCGAAGGCAGUUCUCUGGGCCGUAACUGACGCUGAGGAGCGAAAGCGUGGGGAGCGAACAGGAUUAGAUACCCCCGUAGUC